CCUACGGGAGGCAGCAGUGAGGAAUAUUGGUCAAUGGACGAGAGUCUGAACCAGCCAAGUAGCGUGAAGGAUGACUGCCCUAUGGGUUGUAAACUUCUUUUAUAUGGGAAUAAAAUGUUCCAAGUGUGGGAGUUUGUAUGUACCAUAUGAAUAAGGAUCGGCUAACUCCGUGCCAGCAGCCGCGGUAAUACGGAGGAUCCGAGCGUUAUCCGGAUUUAUUGGGUUUAAAGGGAGCGUAGGUGGAUUGUUAAGUCAGUUGUGAAAGUUUGCGGCUCAACCGUAAAAUUGCAGUUGAAACUGGCAGUCUUGAGUACAGUAGAGGUGGGCGGAAUUCGGGGUGUAGCGGUGAAAUGCUUAGAUAUCACGAAGAACUCCGAUUGCGAAGGCAGCUCACUGGACUGCAACUGACACUGAGGCUCGAAAGUGUGGGUAUCAAACAGGAUUAGAUACCCUAGUAGUC
rnacentral:rRNA from 1 species